rnacentral:lncRNA from 1 species
UCUAGAAAAAUCACUAGGAAGAAUUUUGAUCACAACGGCAUUUUAUUUCUUCUUAAUACUAAUUUUCUUUAAAAAAAAAAAAAAAAGGUCUGACUUUCAAGUUCACAGUUUUGUGGUGCUUUUGUUGUUUUUCUUUGUUUGUUUUUUUUGUUUUGUUUUGUUUUGUUUCACUAGAUUUACAUGAUUUUCCCCAUAUGAUAAUUCAGUGAUUUCAUUUGAAUGUGGACUGUUUCAGCUUAAGGCCACACGAAGACCCACAUUCUUUGUGCUGAUACAUUCACAGAAAUUAGUACAGCAUGAUGUAGGCAAAAUCUUCCACACGAUUGCUUUGGGUCUUACUGAUCUAGAGCAUUUCUGUUAUAGAAAAUUAAGUAUCUUUGUGAUGUUUUGUUUUUAAACCACAAGUUUGGUCUCAUUUCUUAGAGUAGAAUAUAGAUAUUAUAACUGUUUUUUGUGAUAUUAAGCUAUACCACUUUCAGUUACAGUUUACACACUGAUUUGAUACUUAAGUGAACAGGGCUGUGCAAAUGCAACAUACCCAGUUAUUUUUAUUUAUUUUAUUAAGGUUUUUUGGUCUAUGCCACUUCUGCAAUGAAUGUAAGAGAGAUGAAAAAACAGAUAUCAGCCAAUCUGCGAAGUUAUGUAUUUGCAAUGAGAGAAUACAAGAAAACAUAUGAUGCAAAAAGGAGCUUUCAGCAUGAAAACCGAAAAGGAGAGUGUACACUUAAAACACAAAUGGAUACUAGUAGCUUGCAGACCUUGCAGGCCUGUAAAGUCACACAUGAGACUCUUGGACUAUCUUCACAGUGAAGGUGUUACCUUGGACUCUGUCUUGCUCCAAGACCUGCAGUUGGUGUGUCUCUAGGUGGCAAGCUCUCCGGUGGCACUGCCUAUUUUGAGACUCUGUAGCCUGUCUCUUAUCACUUCAUCAGAAAUGCAACCUUUCCCUUCGUGGGGUAGUCCUUUCCACUCAUGUGUUAGGGAAGUUGGAAGCAUCCAAUCAGGGUGACUAUUUACCAUGAUUUCUGUUUGUUGUCCUAGCAAGAAGUCACUGAAGGAGUAUCUAGGGAGCUGGCCAUCUGCUCGACUAGAAAAACGGCAUCAAAUAAUAAUUAUGUUUGCCAGUCACUACUAGAUCUAAUUGCCAGAGUGAAAAACAGUUUGAUUCCCUUUCUUUUGCGAAGUCUGCUCACAGCAGCACAAUCUUUAAUUGGCUUUUGUUUCCUUAAAACAUCCUCUUUUAUCUCAACAAAUUCAGAUACACCCCAAAGCUAAAAACCAUAGACCAGGUAGAGAUGACUGGACCGGCAUCAAGAUUUUCAAAUAAUAGUAGUUCAGUAGUGUAAAAGGAAGGGGAAGGUCCACCACUAAAACAAGCCAGUCUGUAUAUGUUUCAUCAUGUGAUUUACCCUCCUUACAAGAACUUAUUACUCUUCAGGGUAUGGUCAGAUUGUUUUCUUGUCUAAAUACAUUCAUGGAAAUUAUAGGUCAACUCUGGUAUUGGAGGUUUUAUUUAGAAACUUAUUUGUUACCAGAUUUUGGAUUUUUGUUUUCUUCCUUCCUACAGUGCGUGCAGUCAUAAGUUUUCUUUCUGUUCAUUAUUUUCUUUAAAAAGCUACUUAGCAAUUCUCUAAUUCUGUUGCUUUACACUUUCUUGCUUUAUACUUUCUCUUUCUCUCUCUCUCUCUCUCUCUCUUUUUUUUUUUUUUUUAAUGACAUAAAGAUGGGCUAAUUCCUGGUUUUAAAUGUUUCAAAGACCAGGUUAAAUGUGUCUUCUAGGCUACAACAACCACUGCCUGAUGUAGUCCCC